GGCUGGUUAGCUCAGUGGGUUGAGCAUGGUGCUGACAACACCGAGGUCGCAGGUUGAAUUCCUGCUCGGUCC
rnacentral:tRNA from 1 species